AGUGAACGCUGGCGGUAGGCCUAACACAUGCAAGUCGAACGGCAGCACAGUAAGAGCUUGCUCUUACGGGUGGCGAGUGGCGGACGGGUGAGGAAUACAUCGGAAUCUACUUUUUCGUGGGGGAUAGCGUAGGGAAACUUACGCUAAUACCGCAUACGACCUACGGGUGAAAGCAGGGGAUCUUCGGACCUUGCGCGAUUGAAUGAGCCGAUGUCGGAUUAGCUAGUUGGCGGGGUAAAGGCCCACCAAGGCGACGAUCCGUAGCUGGUCUGAGAGGAUGAUCAGCCACACUGGAACUGAGACACGGUCCAGACUCCUACGGGAGGCAGCAGUGGGGAAUAUUGGACGAUGGGCGCAAGCCUGAUCCAGCCAUACCGCGUGGGUGAAGAAGGCCUUCGGGUUGUAAAGCCCUUUUGUUGGGAAAGAAAAGCAGCAGGUUAAUACCCCGCUGUUCUGACGGUACCCAAAGAAUAAGCACCGGCUAACUUCGUG
rnacentral:rRNA from 1 species